UACAUUCAAUACUGUAAGUCACUCUGGAUAAGAGCUCUGGAUAAGAGUGUCUGCUAAAUGACCAAAA
rfam:Salmo salar isolate Sally breed double haploid chromosome ssa01, whole genome shotgun sequence.